rnacentral:lncRNA from 1 species
UCAGACGGAAAUCCCCAAAUCGACCACACCCUAACAUAGCCUCCUCCCCGAGCCGCCGCCGCCGCACCCCACCCUGCGCGGCUGCCGACCGCCCUCCGCCACACUCCAGUGCCAGCUUCCUCCCCGACCACGCGCCGACCACCGUCUGCCACACCUAGUGCCACUCCUCCCGGACCAUGCCGCCGAGCAUCCUCUGCCGCCCCGACCACCAUUCGUCGGACCUCCAGCAACGCCCAAGCAGCCAAGCCUCCUCCACGCGUCCUCCGCCAGGCUCCUCUAGGCUCGAGUUGCUCAAGUGUUUCAGCAGAAGGAUCUGUUCGAGUGAGGAUGUCCACAAGGAUGACGUCUAACUUCCACCAGAUCUGGCAUGGAACGAGGUAAUACAGUUAGGUUUAGUUUUGAUUUGGCUGUCUUACCUCCCCGUACAGCAGUCUUGGCCUCUUCCCCAUCCGCCCUCGCUGUAGCACAUGGCUGUCAACAUUGUAUUCUCCUCGGCUUGCAGGAUCCCCAAGUGACUCGCAGAUGCGAAGGAAAAUUGAGCAAGGUUCUGCCUCCCAUGGUUGAGCAGUCAUAAGGGUUAUGUUGUCUCUCCAUGUUGCUGGCAUAUGAGCCCAACUAAUAUUUGCUUCCUGUGAUCUAGGGAAGGAUAAGAUUGAUGUUUCCUACCUGCCAUACUCAUCUAUUUCGUCUUUCAGUUGACAUGCCUACUGUACGAAUUACAGUCUUUGGUACAUUCACUUAUCCCUUCGAAUUUGACAAGCAUGGAAGAAUCUGAAUAUCACAAGUUAUGAUUUCUUUGUUUCCUAAUCAUCCCUCUCCCGUUAUUAUUUAGCAUUGGCUAACUGACUGCGGUGUUUAUGCUUAUAUCCUUCGGUUAUAGUUUAUAACAAACCAAAUUAAGGAUUUUGUGUUCAUCUCUGAAAAUUCAUAAUGAUGUUUGGUAUUUAAUCUUUCAAGGAAAUGCAGCAAAGCUGUUGUACUAGGAAGAUUAUCCUGACAUGGAGUUUUUUAGGAACAGGAGAGUCGCACACAUCUAAAGUAUAGAAAUUUAUUCUUAAUGUGCUAGGCUUAAUGCAACUAAGAUAAAUGUUCAACAAGGCUUAUUGAUCUGUUAAAUUGUUCUCAGUUUCAGAUGUCAAUACAAGAAAGGUAACCUUGUGUUAGAUCUUCAAUCCAAGGGAGAAAUUGGAGCAUCGGGACAUUUAAACUGAACCUAAAUUAAGGUAAUAAUAUAUGUGAAGUAUGUUAUUUUCUGUUGUUCUAAAGCCCCAAUGUUUUGGUUCAUUUUAGAAAAACAGGGGCCACUCCCAGGUUCCAUUUUGAUUGAAAUGAAACUGCAUACAUAGUUAACACCAUUGAGACAGACAGAGUAGCUAACCACUUAUAAGGUUUCCCAGAAAAGAAUGAUGAAAUAAAAGGGGACACCAUCGAGACACACUGAGUAGCUAACUCGGAAGUCUUGUGCAUGGAAGAAAAUUGGGAUAUUUGCUAAUUCUGUACUAGUCAAAACGUAUGUGUAGAUAUUCUGAUCAUUCUGGUUCAUAUCCUACUUAAUUAAGGUCUUCUUUUAUAAGCCUUUGCCUUGCGCAAAUGAUAUGAUUACUAGCAAAAGGGCCCGUGCGUUGCAACGGGGUAACAAAACUAUGUGUUGACCACAUAUUACAAUGAGUAUUGCUAAAAAAACUCAGUACAAUGAGUGUUGAGUGCAUGAAGAUUUUGACUGUCUCGCGUCUACUAAUUCUAGCAUUGUACAUUCUUCUAUGAAGAAAAUGUAACCAUCUAGAUGAACACACUGCUAGCUCUAGUUAUCAAUGGAGUGGCACUGUCCAUCAAUUUUAUUUCAUUCUGUUAAACAUGAAGAUAUUUGUUUGACCUUGAUUGUCAUGAAGAAGAAAUAAAAACAUUAUUAUGCUUCUCAAUAGCUAGUCAUCAUCUAUGUUUUUCUAAAUUAUCAUCUUUGUAGCUACAGACCACUGCAGAGGCAAUCUCUGAAUUUAUUGGACACCAUACCAGGCAAUAAUCUUAAGAAGCAAGAGACACAAGUUAUAUGUGCGAACGGGUAAUAAAUGCAUAAGAAACCAAACCAAUAUAGGAGUAUUAGUCUAUGGAUCUACAUCCUUUUUGUAUAGUAAUGACAUGGUUAUUGAUCCAAUUGCCAAAAAUGUACCAUCUACAUGCUUGAGCAGUAAUCAUUAGUAUGUGCUGCCGAGGAAGACCGUACAGUGUUGCUAAUUCAAAAAAUAACCAUACAAAGACCAUGCUAUCAUUUUCCAGUAUAUAUACAGUACCAAAUCCAUAAUGUCUAGUCUUGGCCAACCUAGCUCAUUUCAAGCCAUUAUUGCUGGUGUUGAGUUGAUCUAACCUUGUAAUAAGAGGGUUGUGCUUAUUUAGCCAGCACUCAGUAGAAAGAGAAAAAAUAUGAAGGCAUUGGUUCCUGAAACCUGACCGUUUGUCCUCCUGUGUUCUAACCGAACACCACUGCUUUGUUUUCUCCCCUGACCGAGUUGUUCGUGGGCGCGCGUGUGUGUAACCACCGGUGAGGGACUUAUUGAGAGGGACAGCGGUAACACAUGCGCUAUGACAUUCUGCAACCACCACACAAAUUUAGUAUCAACCAUAUAAAAAGUCCAACGACUAAGAUUACAUGCUUUAAAGGCAUGCAAGGACUCCAGGAGCGGAAAGGGGUCAGGUCUGUGCCUUGUUCGGGACAACUCCAUCAGUCUGAGCCUUCUUCAACAGUUGGGCGCCGAAGCUCUGGAUGCUUAAGUGAUUGGUAAGCCAGCCGUUUCUUCUUCAUCUAGAAACAUACGAGAAGGUUUGUUUCUGUUCAUACAAUUGGACUGAAGAUUGGAAGAAGGAAAGAACGGGGAAACGAAACCUCAGUGGUGGGGAACGACGGCCAGCAUGGGUCGAAGCGUCUCAUCGACGCAACGGUGUCUAUUUAGUUAAGAGAGGGUGGUGCGUCACUUACAGGGACUACAACAGGCUUACACCGGCCUGAAACACUUCAUAAACUGAAAACUAUACAAAGGAAAAUGAUAAAGUAGGAUUAAUAGAAAAGAAAAGGAGGGAUAAAAUCAUAAUCUUACAGAUAGGUGACACAACAUAGUGCUCCAACCUCUAAGGAUGCCUUUCUUAAUUUCAUUUGAAUACCUGUUGGACUACAACAUAAGAUCAUCAACAAUCUUGCUAGCAGUAAUGUGCAAUUCCUCAAAAACAUCCUGGAAGAGCUUGGAGUUUCCGCGCUUCCGUAUAUUCCAGGGUACCUAGCAAUUUUGACACAACGAAGCAAUUCAGAAAAUUCAGACCCAAAGAAGCAGUUUAGCAGUUUAGUAAACUGAAUAAUUCUUAGACCGUUCGACAAUUCAGCAAAUUCAGACCCAAAGAAGCAGUUCAGCAGUUCAGUAAACUGAAUAAUUAUUAGACCGUUCAGAAAAACUAAGAUCUUUGAAUGCUAUACCAUUUAACCUAGCAAUCCAUUUGAAAUGUAUAAGCAUGUGCAAUAAUCACUGCUAUUCACUUCCUCAUGUAAGAAAUCAAAUCGAAGCAUGACACCAUUAGGAAGAAAAGCACACAUAUUAGGCAUUGACGGGAAAGUUUAGCAAUAAAAGGUAAUCUCCACUGCUCUUAUUCUCUUGACUUGAUCAGCAGAUCGAAAGGAGUUGGAGAAGGCACAGUGCCCCAUCUUCCACUUGAACGACAUAUGCGCAGAAAAACACCUUGAUGACUUGUCCUUUGUGAGUGCUUGUUAAUUCUGCUGCUCGAAACAUAAACGCAUGAAACUCAUGCACAUCUAGCUACCUCUUGUUGAAGGAGUGAUCUGGUGAACCAGUUCCUAUCCAAAGCAACACACACACAGCCCGACGAACCACACGUCGCUGUAGCACGACCACCAGUGGCGAGGAGCAGAGCACCAGCUCACGAUGGGAACUCAUCAUCUGGAUGCCCGGUGACACCCCCAAUCCCCACCCAACUACCUGGAUCGACCGGGUUGACGCAGGUAAGCAGGAGAUCGCGGGACUGCAGCCUCACGAUAUAGAGCAGAACAAAGAUAACUGAAACGAACACAUUAAAAUUCUACUGUAAUGAACUGCACAGGAGACUGACAGCGGAACUUGUAAGUUCUGAAUUGCACUUGACGCAGGCAAAAUUUUACAACCCGGAUGCAAACAUCAUCCAGAGAACCUAAGCUCAAAGAGAAGAAAGAACUGCGCUGAACUGUAUUUUUGCACAUAAAAAAUCUUAAACAAAAAAGCAAAAACUUUGAACUCCAUGGCAGAGGAAUCCAUAGAGCAGAGCACCACACUACGGUCUUCCUGGGGCGUCACCGCCAGCGCUGUUGCUCCUCUCGCACUCUCGGGUCCAUGAGACCCCUUCCAGCCUCAUGGUCGCCAUGGGCGCCAUGGUCGGCGACACAGAGAAAAUAGGGGAGGGUAUGGUCAUGGGGGAUGGGGACCAGCAUCGAGAAGGCACACGACGGGAUGGACACGGUGAACUGCAUGGCUUCGCCACCCCGUACUGCAUGCCGCGGGGCGGCUAGGAACCUCACAGGGAGAUGAGGAAGGGAAGGUCGGCAGAGAGCAGGCACAAGUGUGCUCACAGUCGAUCUUGACGCAGAUGAGUGGAAAGAGGGAGCGUGGCGGCUGGGGCUCGUCGGGCCCUAAGCUGGAAGGGAGGGUAGUGGAGGCAAUCAGUCGUGGGGGAGGAGGGGAGUAGUUGCCGGCCUGGAUCCAUCACGGGCGGCGCUUUGGGGGCGGUGGGAGAUUGAGGGAAGCCCAGCCGAGGGCAAUGAGAGGUGGCGGCCGCCAGAUAUAGCUCGUGGCGAGAGCUCUGGAGGUGGAGUGAGUAGCCAGGGCAUAGAAGGUGUGGUUCGGCGGGAGUUUUGUGGAGUGGUGGCGCGACGCGGUGAGGAGGCAGCCGGCGGCGCGGGGGAGCGCUGCGAGGCAGAGCGUGGCUGUGUUAUUUCCCCCCGUACCGGUUCGAUUUGGAUUGCAGAUUGAAUAUAAACAAUCACAGGGGCUUUUCGCAAAAGAUCCGUGAACCAGGUCUGACGGACGGACGAACAUGCUAUUAGUACCACCUCGUUUAUAUUACGAUUUUGUCUAUACGAAUCGUAAAAGCGUAUUAUGACAUGAGAAAAAGCGUAUUGUGACGGUGAACCCGACAAAGUCAAUCCGUGCUUCAUUAUUAGGGAAAGAUUUAACAACUUGGUUUCAUGGCGUUGGAUCUCAUGUGAAUAAACUAUAUAUCGAAGUGUUUGCUGUUCUUUGCUUCACUAGAUAUCAAAGUAUAAACAACAAGCUCGUAUACAAUAUGUCAAAGUAUAAUCAAAUAACAAGCUCUUGUUCUUUGCUUAAUAAUGAUAAGAGCUUUACAAGUAACAAGCUCCAGUACAAAGAUGUCGAAGUUUUAAUAUAAAUUGUACCAACUUAUAAUGGUGGAUUCUAAUUAUAGUGAACCAGAUAAGCGGCCUUCGGUGACAUUUUGAGCUCUUGUCUGUUGUCUUUAACUGCCAUUGCGUAGCAGCCAACAAUGUGAAUUUAUGAUGGUUAUUUAGUUUAUUUGAUUGUACACUCUGCAUAGCUUUCCUCAUUAAUUCAAUUUUUCACAAAAUUUGGAAGGCUAUUGUAUUGCUGCGUAAACUGGAGCAAGGCCUUAUCAUUUCCAUCUGACAAAACAUCCUGAAUGUCUUGUCUAGUUCUUCCACUCUAACAAGGCCAUACAUAACGGUGUUGUAAGAUGAAAGUCCGGACAUGAUUUAGCUUUUAAAUUACAGUAUACUGCUCUUACUGUGUUGUAAGAUUGAAGGUCGAAGAUACUACACUUCGGUACAGAUCUAUAUCAUUAUUUGGGAAGUAAACUUUUAAUCUGCAGUAGAGUUGUAUCUAGUAAACUUUGAAAUUUCUUGAUUAAUGUUUUGUAUCUAUCACUGCAAUGGUUACACGUUGAUCCUUACUUGCAAUCUAAUUUGCAUGUUGGUGUCUGUUCUUCAGGAAUCAUGAUACUACUUUAUGGUCUGACUGGUGAAAGAGGUAUUUUGUACGGUUCUCUUGUGUCCUACUUGUCUUUUUCUCUCUAUAUAAAGUAGCAUUGAAAAUGUCCUUGUAUUUCGGUUGACAUCGCAUGAUAUAUGCCUGUAAGAAAGCUCUGUAUGUUCUUUUGAGUUAAACCUAACACCAAACAUUUUAGUUUCUAUACUUCUGUCAGUUAAUGCUUGAAAAACGUUUGAAUUUUAUUUGUUGUACUAGUUGCCUUUGUGUGCUCAUACAAAAAUACUAGAUCCUACGAUGUCAAAAAUUCAUACAGGUUGUGGAUGGCACUUCCUUUUUCUUGAAUGUUGUUCCUAUUUUGUCUUCUGUGCAGUUUUUUCAAACAGAGUUCGAUGAGUCUUCACUUUCAUAAAACUAAACUUAAUGUCAGAGGCAAUCUCACCGUGCCAUUAUGCGUUUAAUUAUUUGUCCAGACCUGAAACUGUUUUCAUGGUUUCCAGGAAGGGCAACUAGAUGUGCUUAAUUCAUGUGCCCAGGCUUGAAACUGCGGACAUUUUUAAGCUUCUUAUUAAAUCAAAUAUUCACUUGAUGCCUUGAAGGGAAAUUUGUUGAGAAAUUUUCUUGAUGUAGCCGUUUUUCUUAUAAAAGUUGGGGUGGUGCACUUUUGUAGAUUCUGAGUAUCGUAAUAAAUGUAAUGGAUAGAAUGUUUUUUAAUACUACAUGACUUGACAUUUUGCCUUUUCCUGUCCAGGUUGAAAAUGUUCCUGUAAGAUUCGUCAAGGCACCUUGCCUUAACCAUAUGCCCUGAGCUCACACAGAACUUACAGGCUUUAUUCUUUGUGUUUGUUACAUCUUGUACUGCUCAAAUGUCUAGAAACUAUAGAUGCUAAAUUAUGAGGGAAGUCUUCAUGUGUAAUCAAUGAAUUGCAUACAUUGUAAAAUGUUUGAUGAUCAAACUUUAUAAUAUAUAUGCGAUGUGCAUCUGCAUAAUCCUUUUGCUUUAUUUGAAUGGAUGUGUCAUCUUUUGAAUCGGGGUGUGUAUGUAAAUGUGAAAUAAAU